AAACCAUGCAUAUGACUCUUCCACAAAAAAUCCUUAAAUCAUUCCCAUGCUUCAUAUAAGCUUUCAUCAUCCAUCUGCAUGAAUGAAAUCAAUUCAUUUUGAAGCCU